AACACAGAAGUUAGUAGAUGUUUGGAAAAUGGUGCUGUGGAGGUGACAGAAACAGAUAUGCAGCAGCUUUGAAGAAGAACUUAAACAGACACAUGAACUGGAAGAGUUUGACAGAACACAGACCCUACGAGAUGAUGACCCAAAUGUUUACAGAGUGGAAAUGUCCUGUGGACACGCUGUGGAUCCCAUUUCAUUCACAGAUUGGUGUCAGACUCUUAUAAGCCAGGGUCAUUUUAAAUUCCACUGCCCUGCAUUAAUAGAUGAGACAAAUGAAGGAUGUGGAGAGGAAUGGUCCUACAUGGAGGUGUGCAGACACGCAUUGCUCUCUCUUGAGGAACGGCAGCUUUUUGAAGAGAGACUUGUCACUCUCGCUGCUUCAAGUUACUGUGAAUACAAACAGUGUCCUAGGUGUGGGAGUUAUGUGGAAUGGAAAGAUGAGAUGAACAUAUCAGCGACUUGUUCAAUCUGCAUGGCCAACGAUGGAAUCCCUUUCGAAUUUUGCUGGCAAUGUAUGAAGAAGUGGAAAGGCCCAAGUCCACGUUCUGAUAAAUGUGACAAUGAAGGAUGCAUUAAUAUCCAGCUGGAAAGCUUGAAGAACUGUAACACAAAAAUUUUACCCUACAGUAAUAUUCAAAAUUGUCCUAUAAUCCGUGCUUGUUCCACUUGUGGUUUGCUUAUAGAACAUCAAGAUAUGUGCAAAUAUGUCAUGUGCAUCAGAUGCCAUGUGGAAUUUUGCUUUGCCUGCCUUAACACAAAGGCAAUUUGCAGUGAAUCAUCUGAGUAUUCUUUUCAUUGUGCUGUACCUGUAGCCCCAAGGCAAACAAGUAUUCCAGUGUGGAAUCAUACUCAAGAUCAGACCUGCAAUCCCACUUCAGAUUCCGAUUCCGAUUCAUUUGGCAGUCCAAGUCCCACUCCAAAUCACACUCUAAAUUUUUUCUAAAUCGUAUUCAAAAUCCCAUUCAAAAUUCUGUUUAGAAUCCAACUUUAAAUCCCUCUUUCAAUUCGAAUAGCCAUCCCAAGAUCCCAAGGACGAAGGUUGUAUAAUUCUAUGACUAAACAAUCCAGAUCAGAGAUUGCUGAAGGUACAAAGAAUGCGGAACAGUCAGUUAAACAUUGUUAGAGCGUAUUAUGUAAUUUGCCUGACCCUUUGUUCUCUUGUGAGGGAUUGUUUCAUUCGUUGUUCCAAUGGUGAUGUGAUCUGAGAAUCCAUAAGUAUAAUAGAUAAUUGUCACUUCAUCUUCCAUAAAACAUCCAGCCCUGGUUUAAAGUGGACUAAUGUAUUAUGUGAAUAUACAGUUUAAGUGCUCAAUAAUCAUGUCUCUUCAUUUCUCUGCAACAUUUUGUGUAUAAUGUGAAGAAAGCAUAAUUGAUUGUCUUUGUAUUUACUGUGUUCUUCUGCAAGCACUUCCCAGACAUAGAAUCAGUUGACUUUCUUGUUUUAUUGUUAAAAUGUAUUAACAUGUGAACUGCAUCAAUAUACAAAUUUCCAAAAAUAGGCUGUUGCAUUCAGUAGU